rnacentral:rRNA from 1 species
GAUGAACGCUGGCGGCGUGCCUAAUACAUGCAAGUCGAGCGAACAGACGAGGAGCUUGCUCCUCUGACGUUAGCGGCGGACGGGUGAGUAACACGUGGGUAACCUACCUAUAAGACUGGGAUAACUUCGGGAAACCGGAGCUAAUACCGGAUAAUAUAUUGAACCGCAUGGUUCUAAAGUGAAAGACGGUUUUGCUGUCACUUAUAGAUGGACCCGCGCCGCAUUAGCUAGUUGGUAAGGUAACGGCUUACCAAGGCAACGAUGCGUAGCCGACCUGAGAGGGUGAUCGGCCACACUGGAACUGAGACACGGUCCAGACUCCUACGGGAGGCAGCAGUAGGGAAUCUUCCGCAAUGGGCGAAAGCCUGACGGAGCAACGCCGCGUGAGUGAUGAAGGUCUUCGGAUCGUAAAACUCUGUUAUUAGGGAAGAACAAAUGUGUAAGUAACUAUGCACGUCUUGACGGUACCUAAUCAGAAAGCCACGGCUAACUACGUG